rnacentral:rRNA from 1 species
UGGGGAAUAUUGGACAAUGGGCGCAAGCGUGAUCCAGCCAUGCCGCGUGAGUGAAGAAGGCCUUAGGGUUGUAAAGCUCUUUCAGAUGGGAAGAUGAUGACGGUAACAUCAGAAGAAGCCCCGGCUAAUUUCGUGCCAGCAGCCGCGGUAAUACGAAAGGGGCAAGCGUUGUUCGGAUUUACUGGGUGUAAAGGGCACGCAGGCGGUCUUGCCAGUCAGGGGUGAAAGCCCGGGGCUCAACCCCGGAACUGCCUUUGAUACUGCGAGAAUAGAGACUGGGAGAGGGGGGUGGAAUUCCCAGUGUAGAGGAGAAAUUCGUAGAUAUUGGGAGGAACACCAGGGGGGAAGGCGUCCACCUGGACUAGAUCUGACGCUCAGGUGAGAAAGCGUGGGGAGCAAACAGGAAUAGAUACC